rnacentral:rRNA from 1 species
UACGUAGGGGGCAAGCGUUGUCCGGAAUCAUUGGGCGUAAAGCGCGUGUAGGCGGCUCGAUAAGUCUGCUGUGAAAGUCCAGGGCUCAACCCUGGGAUGCCGGUGGAUACUGUCGGGCUCGAGUCCGGAAGAGGCGAGUGGAAUUCCUGGUGUAGCGGUGAAAUGCGCAGAUAUCAGGAGGAACACCAAUGGCGAAGGCAGCUCGCUGGGACGUGACUGACGCUGAGGUGCGAAAGCGUGGGGAGCAAACAGG